UACGGGGGGAGCAAGCGUUGUUCGGAUUUACUGGGCGUAAAGGGCGCGUAGGCGGCCAGCACAAGUCAGUUGUGAAAUCUCCGAGCUUAACUCGGAACGGUCAACUGAUACUGUGCGGCUAGAGUGCAGAAGGGGCAACUGGAAUUCCCGGUGUAGCGGUGAAAUGCGCAGAUAUCGGGAGGAACACCAAUAGCGAAGGCAGCUCGCUGGGACGGUACUGACGCUAAGGCGCGAAAGCGUGGGGAGCGAACAGG
rnacentral:rRNA from 1 species